AUGCUCCGGAUCGCCUCUCGCUCGGGUUUGCUUGGUAGCAGCAGAUGCUACAGCGCCGCCGCGAAGGGCGGCCUCUCAAUCAGUGGCGUCAGUGACAUCAUUGCCGUCGCCUCGGGGAAAGGCGGCGUCGGCAAGUCCACCACUGCAGUUAACAUCGCUGUAGCACUUGCGAAGGAGUUUAAGCUUAAGGUUGGUUUGCUAGAUGCUGACAUAUAUGGACCAUCCAUUCCCACAAUGAUGCAUCUGCAUGAAAAGCCUGAAGUAAGUGAAGACAUGAAGAUGAUUCCAGUUGAGAACCAUGGAGUGCGAUGUAUGUCCAUCGGGUUUCUUGUAGACAAAGAUGCACCAAUCGUUUGGAGAGGUCCUAUGGUAAUGAGUGCUCUUGAGAAGAUGACAAGGGGAGUAGCCUGGGGUAAUCUGGAUGUUCUUGUUGUUGAUAUGCCCCCCGGCACUGGUGAUGCUCAACUAUCAAUGUCCCAAAGGCUUCGGUUAUCUGGUGCUUUAAUUGUUUCUACUCCUCAAGACAUUGCUCUAAUUGAUGCUAGAAGAGGAGCAAACAUGUUUCGUAAAGUCCAAGUUCCUAUUAUAGGCUUAGUAGAGAACAUGAGUUGCUUCAAGUGCCCAAAGUGUGGUGAGAAGUCUUACAUUUUUGGGGAAGGUGGAGCUCAGAGAACUGCGGAAGACAUGGAUAUGAAGUUUCUGGGCGAGAUACCUCUUGAAAUUGACAUCCGAACUGGUUCGGACGAAGGCAAGCCAAUUGUGAUAUCGUCACCGAACUCUGCAUCGGCGCAAGCCUACCUGCGUGUUGCUGAAAAGGUGACUCAGAGGCUCAAGGAGUUAGCCGAGGAGCGACUGAUGGGCCCAGAUAUUUCGCUUUGA
rnacentral:rRNA from 1 species